rnacentral:rRNA from 1 species
AGUGAACGCUGGCGGUAGGCCUAACACAUGCAAGUCGAACGGCAGCACAGUAAGAGCUUGCUCUUACGGGUGGCGAGUGGCGGACGGGUGAGGAAUACAUCGGAAUCUACUUUUUCGUGGGGGAUAACGUAGGGAAACUUACGCUAAUACCGCAUACGACCUACGGGUGAAAGCAGGGGAUCUUCGGACCUUGCGCGAUUGAAUGAGCCGAUGUCGGAUUAGCUAGUUGGCGGGGUAAAGGCCCACCAAGGCGACGAUCCGUAGCUGGUCUGAGAGAAUGAUCAGCCACAUGGGAGCUGAGACACCGACCCGACCCCUACGGGAGGAGCCGGGGGGGAAUAUUGAACAAGGGCCGCAUGCUUUAUCCCCCCAUCCCGGGGGGGUAAAAAAGGCCUUCGGGUUGAAAGCCCUUUUUUUGGGAAAAAAAAAGCAGCAGGUUACUCCCCCCCUGUUCUCAGGUUACCCAAAAAAUAAGCCCCGGCUACCUUCGUC